AGGAAACCAAGGAGCCAGUAGAGCCAAACAGCCUCUAGGUGCUUAGGGAUUAUGUGGUUUGUGCUGACUGCAUGUAUGUGAGUAGCUGGGGCCUUUCUCUUUUAGCACCAACUAGAAAUCUGCCACAUCCAGACUUCUAGUCUGACAUCAGAUGUAAAAAGAUGCUGAAUAAUGUAAUGACUAGUGAGGCUUUCCAUUGCGGUGGUCCCCGCUUAUUCACAGGGAAUACAUUCCAAGACUCCCAAUGGAUGCAUGUAACUGAAGGAGCAUUGUGAACUCUGAAGAACUGUGCCACACAUUCCAGCCCGGUGAUCAAGUGCUAUUAAAAGAAUGGAAAGAAACAGACCCUGCUUCCCAGCUGCAGGAGAAAUACAAAGGGUCCUAUGAUGUGCUGCUAAGCACCAGUUCAGCACUGAAACUGGUGGACAUCAAGCCAUGGAUCCACUACACAUGAUUUAAAAAGUUCCUGCAAGAAGAAACAUCCACGACAGAGGACACCAAGGCCACUGAAUGGGAGAUGGAACCCCUGGAAGGCCCAAGAUUUCUGUUCAACAAAUGACAAGAUUUUCCCUUAUAA